AGCAGCCGCGGUAAUUCCAGCUCCAAUAGCGUAUAUUAAAGUUGUUGCAGUUAAAAAGCUCGUAGUUGAAUUUCGGGAUCAAUAUGUCGGUCGUGCCAUCGGUACGUACUGGUAUCAUUGGUUUCUCCUUUCUGACGAACCAUGAUGUCAUUAAUUUGGUGUUAUGGGGAGUUAGGACUGUUACUUUGAAAAAUUAGAGUGUUUAAAGCAGGCUUUAGCUUGAAUACAUUAGCAUGGAAUAAUGAAAUAUGACGUUCGAACCUAUUUUGUUGGUUUCUAGGAUCAACGUAAUGAUUAAUAGGGAUAGUUGGGGGCAUUAGUAUUCAAUUGUCAGAGGUGAAAUUCUUGGAUUUAUUGAAGACUAACUACUGCGAAAGCAUUUGCCAAGGAUGUUUUCAUUAAUCAAGAACGAAAGUUAGGGGAUCGAAGACGAUCAGAUACCGUCGUAGU
rnacentral:rRNA from 1 species